AGGCAGCCUGACUAGAGAACAAACUACCAAUUAACGAGCGAGGAAACAGGGCCAGAGAAUUGGAACAAAAUACAAGGCUGCCUCUGAAAGGAAUAUCUUUGUGCUGAUGUGUCCAUCAAGAGAACAUACACAGAAGUGACACUUGCCAGUAAUUUGCAAGCAGAUGGAACUUCAAUAUGGCAAUAGAGAAAGAAUCAAUUAGACCAGAGUCUCCUCAGGAAGACUUUCUAUAGAUAUCUGGUGAGCAUCUGCUAGAUGCCAGGGUUGGGGAGAGUCAAGUUGAAGCAAGCAUGAACCCUCAAGGACCUACCAUUUCAAGGCAAGAAAUAGAUACAAAUACAGAAAAUAUUUACUGGAUAGCUACUAGACAUAAGGAUGCAGAAAUGAAUUAGAAAAAUUCCUCGCCCUUGUUCAAAGCUAUGCUGGCUCUUAGAACAUCUGAGCCCCCACUGUUUCAUCUUUAGAGGAUCCCAGCUGCUGGGGUGUGAGGCCAGUGCUGGAGCCAGCAGUCUCUGACCCAGAAGGGACCUGAGGUGCUAAAGAAAAGGGUACAAGCUGGAAAAGGGGAAAAUGAAUCAUGCUACAGGCCAAGUGUCCAUCACUGAUUCCCAGAGAUGCCCUUUGUGUGGUAGGCACUUCCAUGUGGACUCGCUACAGAGGUCAUAAGACCCUAAUUCCAGAGGGCCCUACCCUAUAACCAGAAGGAAGAACUAUUGCACAGAGAAUCUAAGAAGAAUCUAGACAGACAGCCCUUGCUGGAUUUCUCCACUCUGUUAGCAUUCGAUCAUUUGCCUUUUGUCCAGUCAUAUUUCUGCAUGGCUGUCCAUACUUUGUUGAACCUAAGCACAAAAUGGAAAGUUUUCCCUGUAUCUUUGGGUCGUCAUUCUGAAGGCUCCCAUGUUAUGUAAAACUAUGAUCAAAUAAAUAUGCAUGCCUUUUCUCCUAU
rnacentral:lncRNA from 1 species